CCUACGGUGUGCAGCAGUCGAGAAUCAUUCACAAUGGGGGAAACCCUGAUGGUGCGACGCCGCGUGGGGGAAUGAAGGUCUUCGGAUUGUAAACCCCUGUCAUGUGGGAGCAAAUUAAAAAUAUAGUACUACAAGAGGAAGAGACGGCUAACUCUGUGCCAGCAGCCGCGGUAAUACAGAGGUCUCAAGCGUUGUUCGGAAUCACUGGGCGUAAAGCGUGAGUAGGCUGUUUCGUAAGUCGUGUGUGAAAGGCGCGUGCUCAACCCGCGGACGGCACAUGAUACUGCGAGACUAGAGUAAUGGAGGGGGAACCGGAAUUCUCGGUGUAGCAGUGAAAUGCGUAGAUAUCGAGAGGAACACUCGUGGCGAAGGCGGGUUCCUGGACAUUAACUGACGCUGAGGCACGAAGGCCAGGGGAGCGAAAGGGAUUAGAUACCCCGGUAGUC
rnacentral:rRNA from 1 species